GGGUGGAAGAAUGGGAUCUCAUUCUCUUCCCACAUGGCCAAAAGGUUAUAAAUAUAGUUUAAGAAAUAGGGCAAUGGCCAUAGGGUUAUAAAUGUAGUUUAAGAUACAAGUCAAUGAGAUGGAGAUUGAUGAAGACAUAAUAGAAGGCCCACCCACAUGCUUCAUUACAUGUGCUCACCAAUUGCAUCUUCACAACCCACCCACUCCCCCCCC
rnacentral:lncRNA from 1 species